rnacentral:tRNA from 1 species
GGUAGGUUGGCAGAAUAAUGCAGUCGGCUUAGGACCCUCAAAUGAAAAAUUUUCACCUAUUA